CCAUGCAGUCGACGGUAACAGGAAGCAGCUUGCUGCUUUGCUGACGAGUGGCGGACGGGUGAGUAAUGUCUGGGAAACUGCCUGAUGGAGGGGGAUAACUACUGGAAACGGUAGCUAAUACCGCAUAACGUCGCAAGACCAAAGAGGGGGACCUUCGGGCCUCUUGCCAUCGGAUGUGCCCAGAUGGGAUUAGCUAGUAGGUGGGGUAACGGCUCACCUAGGCGACGAUCCCUAGCUGGUCUGAGAGGAUGACCAGCCACACUGGAACUGAGACACGGUCCAGACUCCUACGGGAGGCAGCAGUGGGGAAUAUUGCACAAUGGGCGCAAGCCUGAUGCAGCCAUGCCGCGUGUAUGAAGAAGGCUUCGGGUUGUAAAGUACUUUCAGCGGGGAGGAAGGGAGUAAAUUAAUA
rnacentral:rRNA from 1 species